AUCCAGUUGACGAGUCCUAAAUAGGACGAAACACGCAUCCUGGAU
rnacentral:hammerhead_ribozyme from 1 species